CGGCGUGCCUAAUACAUGCAAGUCGAGCGGACAGAAGGGAGCUUGCUCCCGGAAGUCAGCGGCGGACGGGUGAGUAACACGUAGGUAACCUGCCCCUUAGACUGGGAUAACUCCGGGAAACCGGAGCUAAUACGGGAUAAUAAAGAGAAUCACCUGAUUCUCUUUUGAAAGACGGUUUCGGCUGUCACUGGAUGGGCCUGCGGCGCAUUAGCUAGUUGGUUAACGGCUUACCAAGGCGACGAUGCGUAGCCGACCUGAGAGGGUGAUCGGCCACACUGGGACUGAGACACGGCCCAGACUCCUACGGGAGGCAGCAGUAGGGAAUCUUCCGCAAUGACGGAGCAACGCCGGAGUGAGGACUUCGGGUCGUAAAGCUCUGUUGUGAGGGAAGAACAAGUACCGGCGUAACUACCGGUACCUUGACGGUAACCAGAAAGCCACGGCUAAC
rnacentral:rRNA from 1 species